rnacentral:rRNA from 1 species
CAGCAGCCGCGGUAAUACGAAGGGGGCUAGCGUUGCUCGGAAUGACUGGGCGUAAAGGGCGCGUAGGCGGUUUGUACAGUUGGAUGUGAAAUUCCUGGGCUUAACCUGGGGGCUGCAUUCAAUACGUGCAGGCUUGAGUGUGGAAGAGGGUUGUGGAGUUCCCAGUGUAGAGGUGAAAUGCGUAGAUAUCGGAAGGAACACCUGUGGCGAAAGCGGCUCACUGGACCAUUACUGACGCUGAGGCGCGAAAGCUAGGGGAGCAAACAGGAUUAGAUACCCCAGUAGUCCCUGUCUCUUAUAC